CUAAAAGGAGGAGGAGCUACGACGAGGAGAGAGCUACGGAAGCCCCAGAGAGACAAGUGGAGACUGGAGAAUAGGAAAACGCGCUCGCCACCGCGUUGGCGGCCCGGAGGGAAGCCGGAGAGGGACAUUUCUCAAAGAUGAAACAAAUAAACGGUGAGGACCGCAACUUGCGCCCGAUCGAUGGCUAGGUAGACCUACCUCUGUAAUCAUCUUCGUCUUCUUCAUAACUGAUUCUCAGGUUCUGGUGUUCGUCUCUGAUGCUUUUCUCUAGGAAGUUCCUGACCUCUACAAAAGUCUGCAAAGAUCAGAGUCGCAGUCAAAGGAGGGCAGAUCGGCCAUUGCUUUGCUCAAGUGGAGAAGCUUGGUUUCGCAGAACUGCAGCUUGUCCAGCAUGUCCCCCGUCUCCGACUGGAAUUCCUCCUGC